rnacentral:rRNA from 1 species
CAAUAGCGUAUAUUAAAGUUGUUGCGGUUAAAAAGCUCGUAGUUGGAUUUCUGCUGAGAACGACCGGUCCGCCCAUUGGGUGUGUAUCUGGCUCUUUCUUGGCAUCUUCUUGGUGAACGUUACUGCACUUGACUGUGUGGAGCGCUACCCAGGACUUUUACUUUGAGGAAAUUAGAGUGUUUCAAGCAGGCAUACGCCUUGAAUACGUUAGCAUGGAAUAAUAAGAUAGGACCUCGGUUCUAUUUUGUUGGUUUCUAGAGCUGAGGUAAUGAUUAAUAGGGAUAGUUGGGGGCAUUCGUAUUUAACUGUCAGAGGUGAAAUUCUUGGAUCUGUUAAAGACGGACUACUGCGAAAGCAUUUGCCAAGGAUGUUUUCAUUGA